AGCCAAUGAUGACCUCUACUGAUUUUUCUGACGCCUCGUAUGAGAGCUAAGCUCCUGAUUCCAAUGCUGCUCUGAGGCUG